rnacentral:lncRNA from 1 species
AAGCAGAGGAAGGACGUGGCCAGAAGGAGCAGCAUGACGAAGGGGCAGACGAUGAGGAAGUGGAGCAAGGGCCCCGAGGAGCAGAUCAGGGAGGAGACCGUGGGCUCUGCAACCAGAGAAACACAGAAGACAAUCAAUCAGUGUCCCAACGAUCGGGGCCGAGCAGGCGAGUACGUCUCCCUACACAUCAUUAUCGGCAAGUCCGUGUAGAUGACAAGGUGGAAUGGCACAGGCCUCUCGCCCUGCAAGUGCACUGGAAGAACAGGCCCAGGACAUUCCCAACACACACCUCUUCCCCCUGCCCGGCCAUUGCAGCUGUACAGCUGCCAAUGACCUACUUACAACCACCAGCCAAAAAAGAAAAGCAAAACAAAAAAAAAAAGAAGAGAGAGAAAGAAAACCUUUCCUUUAAUCUUCUUCCCUCAGAAAAGAUAUGUAUAAUUCAGUUCUCGUUCUCAACUGUGUGGCUGGCUCUGAAUUUUUAACUGAGAUAUUCCCACUGCUGUUUCUGAAACUCACAGUGCACUAAGCUGUCCUCAGUAACAGCUGUGCCUAUGAAGGAGGGCACUUUUGCCCCUGACCCAUGACAUAUAGGUUAUCCCGGGUCCUGACUCCUUGCCCCACUAUGCUCAAUUCUCACUUCCUGUAUCUAAGCCACUGGGCACAGUCCCUGUCUGGUUGGAUCUCACUUCUCCCAGACUUCUUGCAUGGUCCCGUGCUCACCCCUCCUUGUCACACAGCCCUUUGUUUCGGCUCCUUUCUUCCCUGGACUGAGAAUGGCUAAGUGUCCUGGGUUCCUGCCUUUGGUGAUCUUAAACCAAACUGAAUGCCGCCACAGAGUCAAAGCCACCAUACAGAGAGGCACGCCAAAGCAUGCGAUCCUCCGAUCCUCCGCAGCUGCAGGCCGAUGGGAGGCACCAUCAACAGACUGACAUGUGGGGCAUUGGGGCUCCUGGUCAUUUCCCAGAGAGGCAAAGCAGAGAGGACUGCGGCCACCACAGGUCCUCGGAAAUGGUACCCUGGGCUAAUGGCUAAAGGCCUGGGUUACAGGCAUUCAGCAGAAAGCCACAUGUGUAAAGUGGUACCAACCACUCACUGCACUCUUCCAACUACAUUUCUGAACUAUUUGAAAUCAGGGCUAUUCUGAACAAUCCGAUGCUAACAGCAGCUGUGCUUUGCUUGGGAAACUAACGACAGGAGACCUCUCUUCUUCAAAGGUUAAGCUAUACAAUUUCCGAGACUAUGGAUUCCCAGUGAUAAAACAGUUUUGAUAGGUCGUUCUGACCAACCUCCAAGUGCAAAAGAAAAGACCCCUUGGGGCCUCUCUGAAGCACUUUACACGUCAAAGACUGCCUCUUCACUGGAAAUCAAGAGAGAGCCCAGACAUUUGCUCGUGAUAGGUACUGUGAGCUCCUGGAGGCUUGGGCCUGUGUCUUACAUGUCUCUGUACCUUGUAACGCACCUCCCCCGAAAGUCCUCCAGGAUCCUGGAGAAGGAACCAGCUACCGAGUGUAUUCCCCAUGCAAGAGCCAAGGUGGCCGCCAUCAUGCAGUGUCGGUCCCUGGCAUUAGGCUGUCAGUUCUGAAUGGGUUUGGCACAGAGCUGCAGAGUUGGUGGCCUAGAUAUUUUUUUUCUGUUCUCAAUUGUAGUUUUCAUCUUGCAUCUGAUUUUCCUUCUUGAAAAUGUAAUCAAUGGCAGAGAGAGAGAGAGAGAUUUUGAAUUUUUUUUUCCUAUUGUUUGUUUUGAUCUGAGGCUGAGUCUCACUAUGUAGCCUGAACUAACCUCAAACACAAGAUCUUCCUGCCUCAACUUCCCAAAGGCUGGGAUUAUGGGAGUGUGUCACCAUGCCUGGUUUAAUUUUUAAUUUUUUUCUAACCUCUUUCUGCAUUCUUCUUUCAAAUGAUCCAGGCGAAUGAUAAUUAGUCCCCUGGGUCGCAUGUGAUAUGACGCUGGCAAGCAUGGUCAAAUGAAGCAGGCUGCGAUGUUGUGUUAGAAUAGGCCAGGCCACUCAACCAUGGCUACCCAAAGAAGCUUCUUUUUAUAGCAGUGGUCACUGUCAGGAAAUGACGGGCCCCCUACAGAAAGCCCAUCUAGGAGAGUGUCAACAGUUUCCUCAGGUGUCCAGACUCCCAGAGAAUGACAGACAGCCACAGUUUUUCACUUCCCCAAGCAAAUUUACAAACCUCAGGGCUGGACCCCCUGGAAUAUCAAAAGGGCACCAGCGUUGACACAUGCCUCCACCAUAUACUGGAUAGACGUCAACUAGCCAGGCCCUUCUUCCUCACUUCCCCAGAUCCUCAGAGCUGCACAUCUCUUUCCUGGAAUUCCCUUCUGCUCUCCACUCUGCAGCCGCUGAAACAGAGAGAGCCUGGCUGCACGCUCACCAUGUGACCCCAUCCCCUUCCUGAGACCUCUAAGAGGUGCCCUCCUAACUCUGCCCGUGGGCUUGAACACUCAUUAGGGCUCCUGCCAUGCUGCUGUCUGUCCUUGGCAUUAAUAACCCUUGUAAUAAACUUCUUACCCAAAC